GACAAACCCCGGCUGGGGCUGGGGCUGGGGCCGGGGAGAGGAGUUAAACUUCUCUUCCCCACAAAUACAGAGCUGCCCUGCCCUGCCCUGCCGAAAACAUACUUCUGGCUGUGACUGUGGACUACAAACCCCAGAGGCACCUGGAAGCAGGAAGAGGAAGUGAUGGGCAGAGGCCUGCUGCAGUGAUCCUAAACUGCAAAUCCCAGAGACCUUGGGAUCGUCACGAAGAGGAAGCUACCCAUGCUGGCUAUGUGCCAGAGAGCUGUGCUCUAGCGCCCUCAGCUUCUGGCCUAAAUCACUGCAGGAACACAAACUAUGAACAGAAUACAGUCACAGUCUGCCUAAAAAGUGUAACAGCUGUGGCAAACAUAUGGAGCUGCCAUGGAAGAAAAGCUGCUGGCUUUCUGGAGUGAGACCCUAAUCAAAGUGAUUGAUGCUGGAUGUGAUGCAGAAAUGUAGCAGAUAUCCCUUUUGAAGGAAGACACUCUGGAGAUAAAUACAAAAUGCUCAAAUAAGUGGGACAGGCUGCAACACCUGUAAUACCCCUAGGAAUACUGUAUCCUGAAGUUUGAAACGAAAAAAAAAAAAAUCAAUUACUUCAACUACCAUGAUUAGGAAUGGAUUUGUAGCAACAUUCUCUUUCAUGUGCUGAAUUUCUUUUCUUUCUCCUUUAAGCGCCUCACAAUGGAAUUUUCCUGAAUUGCCAAAACAGGAGCUUUUCUGUUUUAUAAACCUUUCUAAUUCUCCUCCAUACCAUUCUUGCUGGAGCCAACAAUAAAGUGCAUGUGUGAGUUAUGGUGCAAAGUGCAUAUGUGCAAGUUAUGGUGACAAGUCUACUCUGAUUGCCUAAAUCCUGUUGGAAAGCCAAAGGAAUUGUUUUAGCAGUAUUACUAUGAGCAGAUGAACAUGCCUCACUGUAAAGUACUGUGGUGAUUAACUUUGUAAUCUUUGUCUUUAUUUUCAAUCAUAUCUGCUGAAUUUGCUAUUUUGACAAAUGCUGAAUGAUCCUCACUCAUACUGAAAUGAAUGACACUUCAAUGUUCUCUGCCCCAUUAACACAUUCUAUUAAGGUUGGCAUCAUGGGCCAAUCACUAUAAUAUUUGAGUUUGCAAAAUGUUUAAACUACUAUUUAUGCCUUUUAGCAAAAAAGAAUACAUGGUACCUGUCUCAAAGAUUUAACUGGUCUAUCUAUUUGCAAUAGACGUUUAUUGUCAACAAAAUUAUUAAAUAAAGCUCACAUCCUACAAGUUUUUGGUCCAUUUGGCUCCUCUUCCAGUUAUGCAUUUGUUUCUUGGAUUAAAAGGUAAACUCCAGCUAUAGAAACUUGAUUGUUUUUCAAGUCCCCGGUGGCUUUUCCAUGAAGGUAGGUUGAAGCUUCUCUAGCCCCAACAUCUUUUUGCAUGCAU